rnacentral:lncRNA from 1 species
CCCACAAUUCUCGUCACAUUGCUUCACCUUAGCGGGGGAGUCAGCAGGAGCUCCACCAAAUCCACCUUGGCUACCAGCACCAUAACCACCAGUAUUACUCCCAUAUGGUGAAGGAUAAGAUGCAGGUCCACCAGUAUAGCUUGCAGGUGGAGGAACCACAUCAGUUCCAUAAUUUGAACUGCCACCAGAAGAAUUGUAUGCAGGUGGAUAGUUUCCACCAGCCCCACCAUAAGGUUGAGCUGCAGGUGCAGGAGCUUGACCAUAUCCACCAUCUUCUCUGCCUUGACUACCUCUAUUGCCUCCCCCACUUCUACCAACAUUGUUAUUUCCCCUACCACUGUUAUAGCCAUU